AUACGGAAGGUGCAAGCGUUAAUCGGAAUCACUGGGCGUAAAGUCGCUCGUAGGUGGCUUUGUAAGUCAGGUGUGGAAAGCCCACGGCUCAACCGUGGAAUUGCACUUGAUACUGCAUCGCUUGAGUUCGGGAGAGGGUAGUGGAAUUCCAGGGUGUAGGAGUGAAAUCCGUAGAGAUCUGGAGGAACACCAGUCGGCGAAGGCGACUACCUGGACCGAUACUGACACUGAGGAGCG
rnacentral:rRNA from 1 species